rnacentral:rRNA from 1 species
GCCCUUAGUAACGGCGAAGUGAAGCGGCAACAGCUCAAAUUUGAAAUCUGGCUUAGGCCCGAGUUGUAAUUUGCAGAGGAUGUUUCUGGCGCGGUGCCAUCCGAGUUCCCUGGAACGGGACGCCAUAGAGGGUGAGAGCCCCGUAUGGAUGGCCACCAAGCCUGUGUGAAACUCCUUCAACGAGUCGAGUAGUUUGGGAAUGCUGCUCAAAAUGGGAGGUAAAUCUCUUCUAAAGCUAAAUACUGGCCAGAGACCGAUAGCGCACAAGUAGAGUGAUCGAAAGAUGAAAAGCACCUUGAAAAGGGGGUUAAACAGUACGUGAAAUUGUUGAAAGGGAAGCGCUCAUGACCAGACUUGUGCCGGGCAGCUCAUCCGGGGUUCUCCCCGGUGCACUCUGCCCGGUUCAGGCCAGCAUCGGUUUUUGCUGGGGGAUAAGAACGGUAGGAAUGUGGCCCUCUUUCGGGAGGGUGUUAUAGCCUACCGUACGAUACCCUAGCGGAGACCGAGGUUCGCGCUCCGCAAGGAUGCUGGCGUAAUGGUCAUCAGCGACCCGUCUUGAAACACGGACCAAGGAGUCGUCCAUUAGAGCGAGCGUUUGGGUGUCAAACCCGCACGCGUAAUGAAAGUGAAAUUAGGUGAGAGCUUCGGCGCAUCAUCGACCGAUCCUGAUGUUCUCGGAUGGAUUUGAGUAAGAGUUUUAACGGACGGACCCGAAAGACAGUGAACUAUGCUUGUAUAGGGUGAAGCCAGAGGAAACUCUGGUGGAGGCUCGCAGCGGUUCUGACGUGCAAAUCGAUCGUCAAAUAUGAGCAUGGGGGCGAAAGACUAAUCGAACUGUCUAGUAGCU